rnacentral:lncRNA from 1 species
CGUCGUUGAAGCUAUACGCCCCUGACAGCGCUCCAGCUCUCGCUAUCAAAGCAACCAUCGAGAAAACCGAGAGACGGUUUGACAACUAUGGGAAGUACGGGCUGUUGUGUGGGUCUGAUGGGUUGCCUCAUUUGAUAGUGAGCGGUGAUCAGAGGCACUGGGGUGAGUUCAUCACGCCUGGUCUCUUGUUCUUGUACAUCGCUGGAUGGAUCGGGUGGGUUGGAAGGAGCUACCUCAUUGCUAUUAGCGAUGAUAAGAAGCCUGCCAUGAAGGAGAUCAUCAUUGACGUGCCUUUGGCUACCGGUCUUAUCUUUAGAGGCUUUAUUUGGCCUGUCGCUGCUUACAGAGAGCUUAUCAAUGGUGACCUUGUUGUCAAGGACGUUUAAUCUCCUCAGGUCCUUCUUCUCUUUCUCUUCAAAAAAAUUCCCCUUUUUUUUUGUUUUUUUUAUACAGUAAUUCAAGCAUGUUUUUGCCUUAUAGUGUAAGGGUUAACAUGUGUUGGCCAUAUUCCAUCUAAUUAUGUUGAACCUUACUAUUCUAAAGUAGUAAAUUAGUAAUCUGAAAUAGUGUCAUAAAACCUUGCAAUCUUAUAUUCCGAAUCCAAUUUUCCAACCCAAAAUUCGGUAUUUCAUUUAUUAAUCAUGUUAGCAACAAUUUUUUUAUUUAAAAAAUAUCACAUUAAACUUCAAUUAUUGAAUCAAAUAAUAGAUUCUUGAGAUUAAAAGUAGAAGUAGUAAUUUCAAAUGUGUAGAAGGUAAAGGGAUCGAGAGUAAAUUAUACCACCAUACAUCUAAGCUUAUAUGAUUAUAACUCGUCUUAUUGUCGUUGUAAUAUUCUAAAUUUUAAAAGGAAGGGUGAAAUUAAUGAAGAAAGGAAAUAGAAGAACAUACAAAUUGCCUUCAUUUUCUUGGUGUAUUAAUUUUGGUUUUUAUUUUUAC